rnacentral:rRNA from 1 species
CAGUCGCCGCGGGAAUACGGAGGGAGCUAGCGUUGUUCGGAAUCACUGGGCGUAAAGCGCACGUAGGCGGCUAUUCAAGUCAGGGGUGAAAGCCCGGGGCUCAACCCCGGAACUGCCUUUGAAACUAGAUAGCUUGAAUCUUGGAGAGGCGAGUGGAAUUCCGAGUGUAGAGGUGGAAUUCGUAGAUAUUCGGAAGAACACCAGUGGCGAAGGCGACUCGCUGGACAAGUAUUGACGCUGAGGAGCGAAAGCGUGGGGAGCGAACAGGAUUAGAUACCCCAGUAGUCCCUGUCUCUUAUAA